rnacentral:rRNA from 1 species
AUUGAACGCUGGCGGCAGGCCUAACACAUGCAAGUCGAACGAGUGGCGGACGGGUGAGUAAUGUCUGGGAAACUGCCCGAUGGAGGGGGAUAACUACUGGAAACGGUAGCUAAUACCGCAUACCAUCGGAUGUGCCCAGAUGGGAUUAGCUUGUAGGUGAGGUAACGGCUCACCUAGGCGACGAUCCCUAGCUGGUCUGAGAGGAUGACCAGCAACAAGGGAACUGAGACACGGGCCAGACUCCUACGGGAGGCAGCAGUGGGGAAUAGUGCACAAUGGGGGCAAGCCUGAUGCAGCCAUGCCGCGUGUAUGAAGAAGGCCGUCGUGUUGUAAAGUAAGUUCAGCGGGGAGGCGUUACCCGCAGAAGAAGCACCGGAGAACUCCGUGCCAGCAGCCGCGGUAAGAC